CUAUACUAUAUAUAACGUUAAAAGUCUAACAUUAUAUAUAUGUAUGAGUAAAAGUCAGUCUUACCGUUAGUAGGCCUCAUUCACGAAGCUAGUCUAUAAGGGGUGUUUAAGGAAAUUGCCUAUAAAAUGGCGAUUGAAUGGGUAUCCACUCUUACCCACCGCACUCUUGACUAGUGGAGGGUCGUUAGCCGAACGGGUAGGAUAGGACAGAACCUUCCAUUAUAAGUAUAAUGAAGUACAAAAGUAACUAAAUGUUUUUAAAAUUCCCAAUCUUAGUUACUUAGGCAAAAGUGAAUUGAUGCAAUUCCAUGAAAUUACACUUUGUGCCCUUGUGAAGACGUUAGUGGAGCGUGUGUGGUUUACCGGCACACUAAAUGGUUCUAAGCAAAGGUAGCAAAGGGUGACUCAAUGUUUGUCAUAGUUCGGUGGAGCGUGUGUGGUUUACCGGCACAUCGAAUAGGUGACUGUAACAUGUGAGGGCACCAUGUAAGUUUGCAUGGUUAUUCACACCCGCUUUGUGAUCCUCGGCAUCCCAGUCACAAACAAGAGGGGCAUAUCGAGAUUUAAACAUGCCAUUGAAAGUUCAAUGAAUCUCAAAGGAUCUAGGAGUUUUCAUAGAUUUAAAACUUAAAUUUCUUUUUUGUUUUCCAUGGUGGAAAUUAGUGAAUCGUUAUUCACUUACCUUCAAAUAUUCUGCAACUAGAUUACGACAUCCCUUUUCUAGGUUGUAGCGUAUUGUGUUGGGUCCUAGCCUUAAUAUCUCAUUUGGGUGAUUUAUUAAGGACUCAAUCAAUCAACUAACUUGAAUUCGUUUUCUCCCGUUUUGUAGAUGUCAAAGUUCGACAACUAUGGUCUUCCCAAAUCCCGUGGAACAAGCAUUCCACAUGAAGAUGAUAUUCCACGAUUCGAUCGAGGAACAAGAAAUCAUGCUUCACUUCCUCCACCUCCUCCAAUUAUUCUCCCUAACCCACAAGUUCAAAGGCUUGAAAAGUUCAAGAUCACUCAAGCCCUUUUGGCAAGUAAACAUAAAGAAGGAAAGUCGGUGUGUGCACACGUCCUAGGGAUGAAGUCACACAUUGAUAGGUUAAGAAUGUUGGGAUCCGUUGUCUGUGAGGAAAUGGCUGUUGAUUGGGUUCUUCAGUCACUUCCUAACUCAUAUAGUGAGUUCGUAAGAGAGUACUAUAUGAUGAACCGCGACGUGACCCUUAUAGAUCUCACCUAUAUGCUUAUUGCUGCUGAAUCAGCAAUGGUUUGGCGCAAUAGAAAAGCAAAGUUGAUUGGUGAAUCUGCCUUCAAGACCUCUAUGGAUAUAGACAAUGGCAACGAAAGACAUGCUAUGAUCGAAAAGUUUGAUCAUAAGAGAAAGGCAAUGUCUGAAGUAGUUCCAUGUCAUGUUCCAAAAGAGUCAAUUUGCUUUUAUUGCCAAGAGAAAGGGCAUUGGAGACGAAGCUGCCCCAUUUACCUAAGAGAUCUAAGAGAUGGGAGAGUCGAAACGUAUGGCUCUAAUAUAGGUAAAAUCCAUUAACUAACUCUUUUAAGCUUCUAUUCUAGAUUCUUAAUACAUAAUGUGAUAAGAUUACAAUUGAUGUUUUGUAGGAUCGAAGAAAAGAAAGGAAGCUUAAGGGAAGAAGUGAGCAGAAUCUAACCGUGAAGGAAUGGAUUUCGAUCGCAUUUCUCGAAGAUUAGAUUCUUGAGCUACUACUUAGAGUUAGAAUUAGAUUGCUAAGAAAGAUGUAUUAGCAUAGUUUUUCAAUGAAUUGCAUUGUAAGGACAAAUUUUUCCGCAAUAAAAUAAAUUUUGAUUUUAAAUUUUAUUUAUUUAUCCUUACAAUGGCGUGUAUGAAAAAUUGAUGUUAAAAUGUUUCUAUUAUUAGCAAUAAUGGAUUUGGUUCUUAUUAUGUUAUUUAUGGAAAGUCGAGAAUUUACCAAAUAGGGAGAGUUUCUCAUCGCCCAAGUUUCAAUUGGACAGAAACUUGGAAUCAUGCAACUUGGUUGCACGAUGAAUGAGAAAUUUCAUAUUUGGAAAUUAGACUAAUUCAUUGACAAAGUGUCAAGUGAAGGACUAGGAGAUCGAGUACACAAAGUUGCGUGUUGAUCAAGUCCACCAUAAGAGUAACAAAGAUAUUCGUCAUGAUUUACUAAAGGUUUAGUAAAUAUGAUUAUACUUAUAAGAUUAAGUGUAAUUCUGAAUUGAUUGAAAAGGUUUAAAUCAAUAGCAGAACGAAUAAGAAGAAUCAAGUAGGCAGAAAGAUAAAAGUUUCUCCAUUCUAAGAAGAAGGGAGAGUACCUUUUAUGCUUUAUGAUAGGUCUUAAUGAUUAAGAACCAUAUCUCAAUUGAUCCUCUAAGUGAGUCUUAGUACAAUUGUAUGUCUAAGAAGAGGAAUCAAGAAUUGAAGAAAUGGUUAAAUCAAGAAGUCAAUCAUACUUCGUUCCAAAACAAGUCUUAGAGUUAAGAUUGUGAAAUUGAGUGAUAAGUAUUAAGAAGGUUUAUAACAUUCAUCAAAUGUGGAAAGUUGUGAUGUCUUGGAUAAGACAAAGACCAACUAGGACCAAUUUAUGAAGUGUUUUGAUAAAAACUACACUAACUCUUGAAUAUUUGUUUGUCAAGAAAUGGUUAUUGACAAGAGAAUCUUAUAUGUCAAGGAGUCAGUGGGAGUCUUAAUGGUCUUGAAAGGUUUCAAGAACAAAUCAAAUAAACCUUAUCGAUCAUCACUAGCACACGAGUUGAGGUUUACAACCUAUCGUGUUGACAUUAUUUUGAUUCUGUGCCAAUCCAAUCGAGUUAAUUAUGCAUGUGAGUUCUAUGAGUUCUCAUUUUGAACGCAUAAAAGGCAAAGCACCUUAAUCAAUGAAAGGUACAUUGAUAGGAAAGGGUGAGCUGCUUAACUACUUGGAAGACAUGGUGGGCAGCUGUGCUACCAUAAGGCAAGAAAUCAAGAUUAAGAAAGUUCGGUCCAUAUGAGUUUGAAUUUGUCGUAAACUUUGGUUUUAACAAAUUCACAUGGAUAGGAACACAUACACCGUUUAAAUCUAAGUGUCAUAAGAUUUCCUCCUUCAUGAAAAUGAUUGUGAGGAAAUGCUUUCACUAAGAAAGAUUUUAAGAAGAUAGUGAUUGUAAAAUUGCAUUCUCGAAUUCAAUUAUGGUUACGGCAUCCCUUUCCAUAAUUUGAAUUGUGAGGUUUGGCAAUUAGUCUUAAUUGUUUAGACACACAUAUGAACUAUCGAAGGCAAAGGUGUAUAAGUUCAAGAAGCCUUGAUAAAAGAUUAUCAAAGCACUAAGUAUUAGAAACAUGAACUUAAGAAAUUCAAUAAGUAUUGUUUUUCUGAAAGUUAAGAUGUUUAUGAAUACAUGUCGAAGCUAGUGGGAGCAUAAGUGUUAUGUUUUAUAAUAAUCAUCAUGAUAGUGGGAGCAUAAAUGUUAUGAUUGUAUGAUUAUUAAGGCACGUAUUGCAAGUUGGCAAUAUUAAUUAUAGAAAACAAGAGUUAUACCUUGCAAAGUCGUAAGGGUUGAAAAGUUGUUUUGCUAUAAUUAAGGGAGAGAAUAUUAUGCUUCAUUUCAAAUCUAAAGGAUUAGGUUGAGAAAUGUUAAUAAAUUUAGUCAAAGGUACAUAGUGUGUUCUUAAAAUUUCGAUUAUGAUUACGGCAUUCCUCUUCACAAUUCGAAUUUUGAGAACAUAGCAAAUAAAACAUUAUGCGUCGUGUCCCAUACGCUUCGGGUAUAGGAUCGAUUGCAAAUGCUUUAAUGUUUGACCAUUCUAAAAUUUUCCAAAUGUCUAGCGCAUUUAGAGGGAAAAAGGACUAGAAUCGGUUUUGACUAAAAUAAUUAAACAACUAUCAAAGGACAAUCCAAAGUUCGACGAGGAUUGGUCGCUUGUGAGUAGUUGGAAGUAUAGUAUUGGAAAAUAUGGAAAUGUUUCCAUAUUGGAUGGACCAUAUCGACAUUAUUAUGAAUAGAUAAGAUUCUAUUAAGAAUGAGUUGUCAUAUGGAAAAUAUGGAAACGUGUCCAUAUUGGGAAUUGAAUAUUGAAAAUCUAUGUCUAGAUUAGAAACUUUUAUGCAAAAGGAUGUUCAAAGGAAUGUACUUUGAGUGAGAGACAUCAUAUCUAAGGAAUUGUCUUGUAACAAUCUCCGAUAGAGGACUUUGUAAUAUCAUUGGCAAUAGUCUUUGUGACUUUGGUGCAGUGACAUUACGAAAGGAUCAUUGCAUAAAAUGUUAGAAUCUAGCAUAUUCUAUAAGUAGCAAGAAUUUGAUAUUCUUUCACUUAUGAAAAAGGAUUUGGAGUUGUGAAAUGAGAAUGAUUGGAAAUGUGUUCAAUUUGAUCUAUUUCACAAAGUAAGAACCAUAGGUAAACAUUGUGUGCAUGCUAGGAGCAUGGGACAAGUGUAAUAAUUCAAGUAAGAAGUUGAUUACCCGAAACGACAAAUAAUGAGUAAUCGAUAUGGUGAUAAAUAAAAGGUGUUUUAUUUAUACUCAAAGGUUUGAGGCCAUAUGGGAUUAGUAUUAUUCUUGUGUUUCACUUUGCAUGUUUUGACUUCCUGAAUAAUUUAAUUGGUUAAGAACAGUCAAAUUAUUCGAACGGGCCACAGUCGUUCAUAUGUUGGAAGUAGGUAUGAAUGAAGACUGUCGUGAAUUGGUGUGUGGAUUGUCUAAAGAGUAUUAGACAUAAGCAAAUGUUUGCUGCAACGUUCAUGAGUGCUUAUGAAUAUGAUUUGAGCAUUGGAUUAAACCCACGCUCACUUGGAUCACUCCAUGAAUUGUAUCACGAGUGAUUGGUGAGACGAUAACAUCUUAUAUUCUUGAAACCGAGAUGUGUGAGUUGUAUCUUGCAAAUCGGUUGCACAUUGAUAAUAUGUAAACGCACUAGUAACUUGGUGUUAUAAAACAUAUUGUUGUGUGUGAUUCGGUGAGUGAGUGCAAGCAAGCAUUGUAUCAAAGUUUAUCCGUUCCUUUUAUCCAAAGUAGGAUAAAAGCGAUAUCUUUGGGCCCCUCGAUGAUUUAGUGAUGACAAACGUAAAUGCUCGGCCGGGCUAGGGCUAAUUUGAUUUGUUCAAUUAGUCAGUCGUCAUAAAUCGGGAAUCGAGAUAUAGUACAAAGAGAAUGAUUUGAAAUCAUAUCUCAUAUGAUAUCUAGAAUGGAGGAAUAUAUGAUCCCUUAUCUAAGGACACGCGUAUCUGAUAGGAUCAGAGUUGACAGCGGCUUUGGAAAGCUACGAUUGCAGAUCAGGAUCUGAAGUCAUACGCAGAAUAGUUAUUAGACUUAUCCAAGUGGGAGACUGUUGGAUUAGUGUCUAAGUCCAUAACUAUUUUGGUAUGUACUUGACCCGAUGGUGCAUGGUCCUUUUGGGUUGCCUUCACCAAAGCAACUUGAUAGGAUGAAUUAUGGAGAGAAAGGAUUAAAUAUGAUUUAUUAAUAUAUUAUGAGAAUAAUAUAUUAAAGGAGAAAUCAUAUUGUUUAAUUAAUAUUAGUCAAUAAUUAAUUGGUAAUUAGUUUUGUGACUAAAAGAGAUUAAUUAAACUUAAGGGACUGGAAUUGUAAUUAUAAGAUAAUUGCAAUUUGGGCCAUGGAUUGUCUUAAAUCAAGAGGUGGACGAAUUCUUAUGGGAAGCCCAUAAGGAAAUCGUCCAAGGGCUUGAUUAAAGGAGUCUAUGGGUUGCUUAGGGCUUAAGCAACCAAAUUAGGGUUUCCUUGUUAGAUAACCCUAAUAGCCUCACUAUAUAUAGAACCCUUAAGGCUCAAAAACGUGGGGAACUUCUUUUCUAGGGUUAGAACACGUUUUGGGCAGCCUCCAUCCUCUCUCCUCUUCAUCCUCUUGCUUAUGGUGUUUGUAAGCCAUUAGAGGAGUGACACUUGUGACUCUAAGCCUUCCAAAGUCAAUUCAAGGAGGAAUUGGGAUUGUUAUUGCUACAUAACAAUCAAGGUAAUAUCUUAAACCUAAUUAUAUGUUAAUAUUGAUUUCCAUAUGCUAGAAUUAGGGUUUAUAGUCUUGGAUUCAAAGCAUGUACAAUAGAGAAACCUAGAUCCAAGCAUUAGGGUUUGUAUGAGCACAUAGGAUGUCUUAUGACCAAAACCCAUCAGUGGUAUCAGAGCCUAGACUGGUUUCAAUUGUAUUGAUGCAUUGUAUAUCUGAAAAAUUCGAUUUUUGGUGUUCUGGAGGCUGGACUCGCCGAGUCCAUAGCUGAACUCGCCGAGUCCAUGCAGACUCGACGAGUCCAAGCUUGACUCGACGAGUCAACUCGUCAGAUGGGGAUAUCUUCGCGAUUUCUUGCUGUUUUUGCUUAUGGAUAGUUACCUUAUCAUAUUAGAUCAAUAUAAAUCCGAUUUUAUGAUAUAUUUGACUAUAUUCUUGAUCUAAUUGAAGAUAUUUAUCAAUUAAUAAAAUAUUUGUUUCCUUAUGUGAUAAUUGAUUAAUUAUUUUGAUUAAAUUGAUAAAUUGUUUUGCAAGAAAUCAUUAAAUAAAUCAAAUAUGGAUAAUUAUGUGAUUAAAUGUUAAUUUAGAUUAUUUGUUAUUUGAUCCUUGUUGUUAUGAAAAGUUUCAUAUUUUCCCCUUUAGGUUUUAUAGUUUAAAUUUGAACCCAAAAGUUUUGUUGUUUUGAAAUUUAAAUAGUUGAAACCCUAAUGUUUUGAAAAAGGUUUCAAAACUUGCCCUCAAGUUUUGGAAUUUAAAUUUUGAUUAAAUGGUUUAAUUUUGAUGUAUAUUUAAAUUCUAAACCCUAAUGUGUUGAAAUGUUUCAAAACUUGCCCUCAAGUUUUGGAAUUUAAAAGUUGAUUAAAAGUUUAAUUAGGAAUGUUAAAUUCUAAAACUCUAGUAUUGUUUUGAAAAAGUUCAAAUCACACCCUUAUGGUUUUAUUAAUUAAUUAAGGUGUAUAAUUAAAAGAGGUUUAAUAAAUCCAUAAAAGUUUAGGUUUACAAUUUAAUUGAAUUAAAAGUAUAAUUGUUAAAUUUGACCACCUAGUAUUUUAAAAGUGUAAAAUACACCCUAUACUAUAUAUAACAUUAAAAGUCUAACAUUAUAUAUAUGUAUGAGUAAAAGUCAGUCUUACCGUUAGUAGGCCUCAUUCACGAAGCUGGUCUAUAAGGGGUGUUUAAGGAAAUUGCCUAUAAAAUGGCGAUUGAAUGGGUAUCCACUCUUACCCACCGCACUCUUGACUAGUGGAGGGUCGUUAGCCGAACGGGUAGGAUAGGACGAAACCUUCCAUUAUAAGUAUAAUGAAGUAUAAAAGUAACUAAAUGUUUUCAUAAAAUUCCCAAUCUUAGUUACUUAGGCAAAAGUGAAUUGAUGCAAUUCCAUGAAAUUACACUUUGUGCCCUUGCGAAGACGUUAGUGGAGCGUGUGUGGUUUACCGGCACACUAAAUGGUUCUAAGCAAAGGUAGCAAAGGGUGACUCAAUGUUUGUCAUAGUUCGGUGGAGCGUGUGUGGUUUACCGGCACAUCGAAUAGGUGACUGUAACAUGUGAGGGCACCAUGUAAGUUUGCAUGGUUAUUCACACCCGCUUUGUGAUCCUCGGCAUCCCAGUCACAAACAAGAGGGGCAUAUCGAGAUUUAAACAUGCCAUUGAAAUGUUCAAUGAAUCUCAAAGGAUCUAGGAGUUUUCAUAGAUUUAAAACUUAAAUUUCUUUUUCGUUUUUCAUGGUGGAAAUUAGUGAAUCGUCAUUCACUUACCUUCAAAUGUUCUGCAAUUUGGGUUACGGCAUCCCUCUCCCGAGUUGUAGAAUAUUGUGUUGGGUCCUAGCCUUAGUAUCUCAUUUG
rnacentral:lncRNA from 1 species